UCCUACGGGAGGCAGCAGUAGGGAAUCUUCCGCAAUGGACGAAAGUCUGACGGAGCAACGCCGCGUGAGUGAUGAAGGCUUUCGGGUCGUAAAACUCUGUUGUUAGGGAAGAACAAGUGCUAGUUGAAUAAGCUGGCACCUUGACGGUACCUAACCAGAAAGCCACGGCUAACUACGUGCCAGCAGCCGCGGUAAUACGUAGGUGGCAAGCGUUAUCCGGAAUCACUGGGCGUAAAGCGCGCGCAGGCGGUUUCUUAAGUCUGAUGUGAAAGCCCACGGCUCAACCGUGGAGGGUCAUUGGAAACUGGGAGACUUGAGUGCAGAAGAGGAAAGUGGAAUUCCAUGUGUAGCGGUGAAAUGCGUAGAGAUAUGGAGGAACACCAGUGGCGAAGGCGACUUUCUGGUCUGUAACUGACACUGAGGCGCGAAAGCGUGGGGAGCAAACAGGAUUAGAUACCCUGGUAGUCCACGCCGUAAACGAUGAGUGCUAAGUGUUAGAGGGUUUCCGCCCUUUAGUGCUGAAGUUAACGCAUUAAGCACUCCGCCUGGGGAGUACGGCCGCAAGGCUGAAACUCAAAGGAAUU
rnacentral:rRNA from 1 species